rnacentral:rRNA from 1 species
AAUAGAUACCCUGGUAGUCCAUGCCGUAAACGUUGGGCACUAGGUGUGGGGGACAUUCCACGUUUUCCGCGCCGUAGCUAACGCAUUAAGUGCCCCGCCUGGGGAGUACGGCCGCAAGGCUAAAACUCAAAGGAAUUGACGGGGGCCCGCACAAGCGGCGGAGCAUGCGGAUUAAUUCGAUGCAACGCGAAGAACCUUACCAAGGCUUGACAUGUUCCAGACCGCCUCAGAGAUGGGGUUUCCCUUUGGGGCUGGUUCACAGGUGGUGCAUGGUUGUCGUCAGCUCGUGUCGUGAGAUGUUGGGUUAAGUCCCGCAACGAGCGCAACCCUCGUUCCAUGUUGCCAGCACGUAGUGGUGGGGACUCAUGGGAGACUGCCGGGGUCAACUCGGAGGAAGGUGGGGAUGACGUCAAAUCAUCAUGCCCCUUAUGUCUUGGGCUUCACGCAUGCUACAAUGGCCGGUACAAUGGGUUGCGAUACUGUGAGGUGGAGCUAAUCCCUAAAAGCCGGUCUCAGUUCGGAUUGGGUCUGCAACUCCG